rnacentral:rRNA from 1 species
GGGGGACGGAGAAGGCUAUGUUGGCCGGGCGACGGUUGUCCCGGUUUAAGCGUGUAGGUGUGUGUUCCAGGUAAAUCCGGUUCACUUUAACACUGAGGCGUGACGACGAGGCACUACGGUGCUGAAGCAACAAAUGCCCUGCUUCCAGGAAAAGCCUCUAAGCAUCAGGUAACAUCAAAUCGUACCCCAAACCGACACAGGUGGUCAGGUAGAGAAUACCAAGGCGCUUGAGAGAACUCGGGUGAAGGAACUAGGCAAAAUGGUGCCGUAACUUCGGGAGAAGGCACGCUGACACGUAGGUGAAGUGAUUUACUCAUGGAGCUGAAGUCAGUCGAAGAUACCAGCUGGCUGCAACUGUUUAUUAAAAACACAGCACUGUGCAAACACGAAAGUGGACGUAUACGGUGUGACGCCUGCCCGGUGCCGGAAGGUUAAUUGAUGGGGUCAGCGCAAGCGAAGCUCCUGAUCGAAGCCCCGGUAAACGGCGGCCGUAACUAUAACGGUCCUAAGGUAGCGAAAUUCCUUGUCGGGUAAGUUCCGACCUGCACGAAUGGCGUAAUGAUGGCCAGGCUGUCUCCACCCGAGACUCAGUGAAAUUGAACUCGCUGUGAAGAUGCAGUGUACCCGCGGCAAGACGGAAAGACCCCGUGAACCUUUACUAUAGCUUGACACUGAACAUUGAGCCUUGAUGUGUAGGAUAGGUGGGAGGCUUUGAAGUGUGGACGCCAGUCUGCAUGGAGCCGACCUUGAAAUACCACCCUUUAAUGUUUGAUGUUCUAACGUGGACCCGUAAUCCGGGUUGCGGACAGUGUCUGGUGGGUAGUUUGACUGGGGCGGUCUCCUCCUAAAGAGUAACGGAGGAGCACGAAGGUUGGCUAAUCCUGGUCGGACAUCAGGAGGUUAGUGCAAUGGCAUAAGCCAGCUUGACUGCGAGCGUGACGGCGCGAGCAGGUGCGAAAGCAGGUCAUAGUGAUCCGGUGGUUCUGAAUGGAAGGGCCAUCGCUCAACGGAUAAAAGGUACUCCGGGGAUAACAGGCUGAUACCGCCCAAGAGUUCAUAUCGACGGCGGUGUUUGGCACCUCGAUGUCGGCUCAUCACAUCCUGGGGCUGAAGUAGGUCCCAAGGGUAUGGCUGUUCGCCAUUUAAAGUGGUACGCGAGCUGGGUUUAGAACGUCGUGAGACAGUUCGGUCCCUAUCUGCCGUGGGCGCUGGAGAACUGAGGGGGCUGCUCCUAGUACGAGAGGACCGGAGUGGACGCAUCACUGGUGUUCGGGUUGUCAUGCCAAUGGCACUGCCCGGUAGCUAAAUGCGGAAGAGAUAAGUGCUGAAAGCAUCUAAGCACGAAACUUGCCCCGAGAUGAGUUCUCCCUGAGACUUAGAGUCUCCUGAAGGAACGUUGAAGACGACGACGUUGAUAGGCCGGGUGUGUAAGCGCAGCGAUGCGUUGAGCUAACCGGUACUAAUGAACCGUGAGGCUUAACCUUACAACGCCGAAG